rnacentral:rRNA from 1 species
UACGGAGUGUGCAAGCGUUACUCGGAAUUACUGGGCGUAAAGCGCACGUAGGCGGCUUCUUAAGUCGGUGGUGAAAUCCUGGAGCUCAACUCCAGAACUGCCUUCGAUACUGGGAAGCUCGAGUCCGGGAGAGGUGAGUGGAACUGCGAGUGUAGAGGUGAAAUUCGUAGAUAUUCGCAAGAACACCAGUGGCGAAGGCGGCUCACUGGCCCGGUACUGACGCUGAGGUGCGAAAGCGUGGGGAGCAAACAGG